AGUCGAACGCUUUGUGGUUCAACUGAUUUGAAGAGCUUGCUCAGAUAUGACGAUGGACAUUGCAAAGAGUGGCGAACGGGUGAGUAACACGUGGGAAACCUACCUCUUAGCAGGGGAUAACAUUUGGAAACAGAUGCUAAUACCGUAUAACAAUGACAACCGCAUGGUUGUUAUUUAAAAGAUGGUUCUGCUAUCACUAAGAGAUGGUCCCGCGGUGCAUUAGCUAGUUGGUAAGGUAAUGGCUUACCAAGGCGAUGAUGCAUAGCCGAGUUGAGAGACUGAUCGGCCACAAUGGGACUGAGACACGGCCCAUACUCCUACGGGAGGCAGCAGUAGGGAAUCUUCCACAAUGGGCGAAAGCCUGAUGGAGCAACGCCGCGUGUGUGAUGAAGGGUUUCGGCUCGUAAAACACUGUUGUAAGAGAAGAAUGACAUUGAGAGUAACUGUUCAAUGUGUGACGGUAUCUUACCAGAAAGGAACGGCUAAAUACGUGCCAGCAGCCGCGGUAAUACGUAUGUUCCAAGCGUUAUCCGGAUUUAUUGGGCGUAAAGCGAGCGCAGACGGUUAUUUAAGUCUGAAGUGAAAGCCCUCAGCUCAACUGAGGAAUUGCUUUGGAAACUGGAUGACUUGAGUGCAGUAGAGGAAAGUGGAACUCCAUGUGUAGCGGUGAAAUGCGUAGAUAUAUGGAAGAACACCAGUGGCGAAGGCGGCUUUCUGGACUGUAACUGACGUUGAGGCUCGAAAGUGUGGGUAGCAAACAGGAUUAGAUACCCUGGUAGUCCACACCGUAAACGAUGAGUGCUAGGUGUUUGAGGGUUUCCGCCCUUAAGUGCCGCAGCUAACGCAUUAAGCACUCCGCCUGGGGAGUACGACCGCAAGGUUGAAACUCAAAGGAAUUGACGGGGACCCGCACAAGCGGUGGAGCAUGUGGUUUAAUUCGAAGCAACGCGAAGAACCUUACCAGGUCUUGACAUCCCUUGACAACUCCAGAGAUGGAGCGUUCCCUUCGGGGACAAGGUGACAGGUGGUGCAUGGUUGUCGUCAGCUCGUGUCGUGAGAUGUUGGGUUAAGUCCCGCAACGAGCGCAACCCUUAUUACUAGUUGCCAGCAUUCAGUUGGGCACUCUAGUGAGACUGCCGGUGACAAACCGGAGGAAGGUGGGGAUGACGUCAAAUCAUCAUGCCCCUUAUGACCUGGGCUACACACGUGCUACAAUGGCGUAUACAACGAGUUGCCAACCCGCGAGGGUGAGCUAAUCUCUUAAAGUACGUCUCAGUUCGGAUUGUAGGCUGCAACUCGCCUACAUGAAGUCGGAAUCGCUAGUAAUCGCGGAUCAGCACGCCGCGGUGAAUACGUUCCCGGGUCUUGUACACACCGCCCGUCACACCAUGAGAGUUUGUAACACCCAAAGCCGGUGGGGUAACCUUCGGGAGCCAGCCGUCU
rnacentral:rRNA from 1 species